rnacentral:lncRNA from 1 species
CUAGGAUGUGCUGGCGUGGCCUUGGAACAACUUGCAUCUCAUUCGGUGACCUCUGAGGAUUUUCAUAUCGCCCCGCAGCCUGCCCUUCCUCCCGUUCUAAAACCCAUCCACCCUAUCGCAUCCCAAGAGCUGGGUGUCAGGCCCGGAUCUCCCAGGGCGGUCUGGCUUUUUCUCCUCCAGGGAGGGAAGACAAUGGGUGGCCUCUGUGUCACUUGGUCCACCCUCCUGGCCUCCUCCUCAGUGCUCGUAGAUUUGAGGGACAGCCCCUGUUUCCAGAAACGCAGUAUCUUGCGUCCAGCCAACCCGGAUCGGGGCAGGGAGAGGAGUAGCGGAAGCCGAUUUUUAUUUGAAACCUGCCCCUGUAUUUCCUUUCCAGGAACCCCUGGAUCAAGACCAGCUCAACUGUGGCUGGGAAAACAGACCCAUGUUCCCCAGAGUUUUUAACUUGCCCAUUAGCUGUGGUCGUGUUUUGGAGAUUCGGAACCUUAUUUCCAAGGAGAGUUGUGAGGGGCAUGUUUAUAUUUAUUUCAAAAACAAGCAAAGGAAAUAGCAGUCAAUUAAAAUGAAAUAUUUUUAUUUGCCUCGCGCGUUGUCAGUGAUUUGCCCCCGGGGAUCCACAAUUUUCCCAAGCCUGUUAACGGGUGACAAUGAAUGAGUGUCUCGUGUAAUUUAAUUUUCCUGUCACACUAAAUAGAGCUACAUUGUAAACCUUAGAUCUAGUCUCACUGAUAGGAUCGCCUUGUUUUGCCAUUUGCACCAUAAAGACCCCCAAAAGGGACACUGUAUUGUGACCUCUACUCUUGAAUUAUUCAAGAACUUAAUGACUUUUUCCAUUUUAAGAAGGGAACUAAUUGCCAUUGAUGUAAAGCGUGUGACCUUCUCUGGCGCCCACUAUGAGAAUGUAGCCAUCUCUGUGUGGAUACAGGAGCUGCAGAGGCACAAAUCAAGAGAAAGACGGAAACAGAAAUGAGCUGCACACACACUGGAAUCGACGUAUUAAUUCAUUCCACCCCAAGCCAUGAUGUAUAUUUCUACAAACUUCUCUUACUUGACCUAAAAUCUGUAUAAAAUCUCACAUCAACUCAGGCCUGUUUUGGGGGCAUGACAUAACUUUUUAGUUAGGAAAGGAACACAAACUAUUGAAAUUCAGUAUUUCUUCAUUAACGUGAAAUUACUUUGUGUAAUGUCAAGCAAAAUAUCUAAUAAUCUGCUCGCCGCCUUCUUUUUUUUUGGCUUUUCUUUACUUUUUUACUCAACAGGAAAAAGAAACACAACUGUAGAGAAAUGGCAUCUCAGUCUUUGCUGUUCGAAUGUCUUGAGUUUCCAGAAAAGCCACCAUUGAAAUUCUUCAGUACCAGAAUUCUCACUCUUCAAAUUACUUGAAAAUGGAUGCUUAUCUUUCCUCAAAGUGAAAAGACUCCCAGGGUACUUGCUACUGUCCUUUCACUCUUUCCCUGGCCCCUGGAAGGAGAAAAGAAAGAAAAAUGGGCUUCUAGCAAAGUUCUUUGGCUUCGUAAAUUCACCUGUCAGUGUACAAAGAUGCUCUGAGGCUUUUCCUGAUUUUCUUAAGUCCACAGCCAAUAGUAACCGUUUUAAAAGUGUGAGAGGAUUGGGAAAGAAAAGCACUUUCCUGUGCUGGGCUCCACAUACUUCUUUUGAACUUUUAAGUGAUGCUUGAGACAUGAAAUCGUCAUUUCUGCAGAGAACAGACAGUUCCUUUCAAAUGACACUCUCAGCAAACACCCUGGCUUCACUGAGAAUGAACAUCCUCUGUUAGGCUGUGAGUCUCAUCUCUGUCUGGUAGCAUUUCUAGAAAAGAAGAUAAAGUACAUUUGAACCCUAACUGUAUUCUAAAGAGUCCCAAUUUAUACCCACAUGUUUGACACAAUUGCCGCUGUUGCAGCUGGAGUCACUUGCAGAACAGAAUGCCCAACCCUCCAUCCAUGGAAGCAUAGUACGUGCUAUUUUAAAGGAGGUUGUCAUAAACCCGUCAUGACCUAAUUUGGUAACAGAGCAACUGUUUUCAUGUUUCUUUCAAAGAAACCUGUGUCCCUCCUUGGUAUUUGAUGCUCUUUGUGUAGAAUAGCAUGACAGAAAAAAUUGGAUAAAAACACAAAGUUCUUAGUGUUAAACAAUAAGGACAUACUUAAGAAACAUAUUUGAAAACAUUUUCAUGUCACGAAAAGUUGGAACGCGUGUGGAAUGAGUGGGGAUCCAUCUUCUUGCGUGUUUCCUGUGAUAAAAGCAGCAUUUUAUGGAUGAAAUGUUAAUUUAGUUUUAGAGACUUUUCACUUAGUUCUCCACAUUUAAAAUGUUUUCAACCACUUGAUGUAGACUACAGAACACAGAAGAAACUGUAUGUGCCUCUCACAGCAUGGCUAUACUCUCUCUAGCAUUCUAUGGUAUUAUCAGCCGGGCAUUUUUCCAUGGUGACAGUAUGUGUUCAAAAUGAAAAUUUCAUUCACCUUUCAAACUGUCACCAUGGGUAAUAAGUUAUGGUUAUUUUUCUUUUCAUCUUAAAAAAUAACUCUCUUGAUCUAGGACCACUCAAAGGACAUUUUGAGUGCUGUGGAAAGUUUGUGGCGUCUUUAAAGGCAAAGCAAAGCCCUCUCUUGACCCAUUUCUAGCUCUCACCCUCUUCUGAAAGGAUUUGUGUUGACAAUUCAGAGAGCCAGAAUGAGGAAUUUUAUCUUCACUGCGCUUGAGUGGAUGGUUCUAGAAGGGUGUGCAAGAGAUUCUGAUUAGAGCCCUGUUUCAUCCAGUUCCCAUCCCAGCUCUCUCCACCCUCCAAAAAAUAAAUAAAUAAACAACUGUGAAAAGUAUUCCCAUUUGGCCUUUAUGAAAGGGCAAACUAUCCCAUGGGGCAGGGAUGACAUGUCAGUUCUCCCUCUGUAAAAUGAGUCCCUUAUUUCUCCAUCAGGCCUGGUGUGAAAGGACGCACCCGGGCUUUGCAGUUGUGUCUUUUGGUAUUGAUGGAGAUCAAGAACACUCUGCACUUUGGUUAUUUUUAAAGAUGCUGUGCGCCUUUAGGGAAGAAUGAAGCAAUUUUCGAGAGGAAAGUAAGCUUAGCAUACCCAGGUGGAUAAACAUUAUCAGGCAAACUGUACUUACUCAUAUAUAAUUCCUUCAGUUUUCCAGGUUCUCGGAGGUAGUUGACACUGCAGUAAGCCAACAGCUUCUUAGUCCAUUACUUUAUCCCCAGCCAAGAAGACCAAUAGGUGCAUAUUUUCACUCUCAUUCCUGAAUUCAUUCACACCCUUUGUCUCCUUCUUUAAAGAUUUUGAACUGCUGAUGUAUGUUUUUAAAAAUGCCAGCACUAACAAAAGUUGACGAUAACUUUCCAUCUUAUUCUGUUUAUCUGAAUGCAUGCACCUAAAUAUAUUUACUGGACUUCUGACUGUCCAUUUUUCUUCCGUGGGAAAUGACAUAAAGAUACCUCAACUUUGACAUAAUUACUAAAAAUACUUUUUAAAAAACCUCAAUUUCUUCUGUUUAGUGAAUAUUUAUUUUAUGAACAUGGGUUGCAGUCUGACUCUGUGUCAGCAUUCUGCUUAUGCAUGGAAUGGUGUCCCUGACUAAGAAGAUAGUUCUAAUGUCUCUCAACAAUGACAUUUCCCAGCAUGAGCAAAUGUGUCUGUGGAAGUAGAAACACCCUUUUCUGGCGUGUUCUCUUCCCUCAUGGAGUGCAGGGGGUACAGAACUCCUAAAGGAUUUUCUGUGUGAUGGAUGAAGCUGAUGUGUUAUCGUACUGGUUCUCUAGGAUGCUAAUUAAGUGUUUAAAUCAUGGAGUAAUUAAACCAUGGAUAAAACAUACCUUGAGUUCACUGAGGCUGAUGCUCUAAGCAUAGGAGGUGUCAAUUUUGUCAUGAGGAAUACAGGGAAUUUUCAAAACAUGCCAUCAGGAUAUAGUUCAAUUUUCCAACAAAAUUCUAAUGACUGCCUAACUCUUCUUGACUCCAUUCUUAUGUUUUCUCUAAAUUUGCUUAUUCACAGCUGCUGGAACAAAAAGAUGAGAUGGAAGCAGGACAUUUGUUUUCCUAAGGCCCCAUCUGACUGAAAGUGCAUGAGCUUCUCUCCACGCUGACCCUUGACCAUCACGAGUGUCCCAAAAGGGCAUACCCCUGCUGCCAGAUUGCUCCUGGAUGCUUUCCUCAGAGUUUCCUAUGAAUAUCAACUGAGGAAUGAGACACAAAAGCAGCCCGUUAGCAGAGAGGCGACGGGCCACGUCCAGAUGUGUGCUGGGCGAGAACAUGGAGUUCUCAGGAUAAGGAAAGAGGGCGCAUAAAAGUUGAGAUGCGCAGACUUGUACCAAACCACCAGGCCACCAACUAUUAGAAUUUGUCAACACAAAGACAUUUAAAUAUAAAAGUGUUGACUUGUCCUGCUGGACAAAUUGAGGUUGUAACAGUUACAUUGCCCAAGUGGACAUUUAACCUCCCCUGAAGUUACCAAAGCUUACCAUGAAUGAAUAAUGGUGAAUGGUGAAUUCUUAUGAAUCUCUCAACUAAGAGUAAGCAACUGGCCUAAGACAUCAUUACUUUUCAAUGAUGAGGAAAAGUCCACUAAUUCAGAGUGAUUGUUUGGGGCAAAAGAUGAUCCAGUACCCACCCUUUGUAGGGCUUUCUUUGCUGGCUGAUAAAACAUGGGAGAUGAGCCCCUGCCUCAUGGAAAGGAGAGUAGUGGCCGACGUUUAAACGGCUGUGAGCCCCCGAAUGGGCAGAGCAGGCUCACUUUUCCCCCAAGGAGCCCUGAACAUAACAGGACACGAACAGCCCAAGGCACACCCACCAAUGCCUCUGCCAUCUGCCCACAUUGGCACACAUAUGCAGUGCUGACUGACAUUCCAAAAGGAAGGGAGUCCCCAGGACCAGCAUGGCCAGCAUGCAGAGAGCAGUACUGUUCUGAGUACCAUUCCUCAUUCUUGGGGUGAGGAAGAGGCUAAAAGGGAUGGAACUCAACUCGUUUAAAAAUCCUAAUCAAGAGAGGUUGCUGAAAUCAGAGCAAAACAGGAUGAACUGGAAGUGGGACAUAAAAGGCCAGAAGCCCACCUGAGCGAAAUACACAGUUUCAAUGCUGUUGUGGGUUUUUUAACAAUGACAAACUCGCAGAAAAAAACCCUUCUGUAUAUUUUCCUGCUGGGUGGUCAGAAGGAAAGGCCACGAAGCUAAAGGCCUCCCAUUGAGACCCUGCUCUGCAAGGAGCCGACCUCACGUGCCGCCGCCGCGGGAGAUAAGAGCACCUGUCGGUCUCCGCGCUCGCUAGGCAGCGACUCUGCUGACUCUGCGCGCUUGGGCUGGCCACGCGCCCGCCGCACGGCCGGGACAGGGGCUCCCUGCCCGGAACCGUCCAGCCGUCAUGCCUGCGCCGGGCUCAAGACAUCCUGUGACUGUCCCUGUGGCCAUUGUCCGGUAGAGCUGCUAAGUAGUUUUAAUGCCACUAAGAAAGUCAAGGCUCUGCAGGGUUGAGAUCUUUGUCCAAGGCCUUAAGUGGAAAAGCCUCAAGUCCAGCUGAAGUCACCUUGAGCUCAAAGGCGUGCUGACCUCAAAGCUGUCUGCGCUGGACCCACCACUGCUUUCAGCUAGUCAGGAAUUCAACUGGGUAGAGGAAGAGAGCUUGUUUCUGCUCCCUCGCGUCUAGGACCUCCUCUAGAAGGCUGAAAGCUCAUGUACUUACAAGUCCAGCAGUUGGUCCUGGUUGUUGGCUGGGGAACCAUUUGAGGCUGUCAGCUGGAACAUUACACAUGUGGCCUCUCCAUGUCGCCUGGGCUUCCUCACGGCAUGGGGCCUAGAGUCCAAGGAUGAGCAUUCAGAGACACAGAGAGAGGCAGCCAAGCCAAAGCCAUGCUGCCUUUUAUAACCUGACCUUGGAAGUCGUGCACUGGCACUUCCACCAUGUUCUGCUGGUAGAGGUAGUUAUAAAGGUCCAGCCAGGUUCAAUGGAGGGAACGUAUGCAGGCCCCACCUCUCGGCGGAAGAGGAUCGAUGUCUGUGAUUGAUUGUUGAUUGUAUAAUGUGGACUAAAGUAACAUAAGCCACUUCUGGAUCUAUGCAUCAGUCUCCACACGCCACCCACUCUUUCUUCCCGUGCAGUGGCAACUGUGUAUAAUAUGUGUUGAAGAUGACAAUGACACAAAAGUCGAGGAGGCUGGAUCCCUGAGUCAUCACCUGGAGGAUAACCAUCCAAUCCAUACUGACCUUCGUGAGUGUGAUAAUUAAACUUUAGUGUGUUAAUCCUCUGAGGUUUGGUAAUUGCUACAAGAAUUUUAUCCAUAUCCCCAAACUUCGUCUGAGCCCAGGUAUUUUUCUUCCUGUGUUAACAGCACGUCCACCAGGACUGCAAAUCUACGAUGAAAGCAAGGGACUAGGGGUGAUUUCUCCUGCCUCCUUUUGAUCUGUGCACCUCCCCACCGCUCCAAGUAGCAGUGAGCAGGGAAAUGACUGUGUGAAAGAGGAGAAGGAAGUCAUGGGACUGCCCAGGUCAUUGACCAACGGGAUCACUGACUUUAUACCAAAGGCCUUGGCCAAACCCGAAGGUGGAAAAUGGGCAAUGUUGACAGGGACGCAGUAAGUCUUCAGUGCUUCUUUGGACGCUCUAGGGGAAAUGGAGAUCGCGUGCUGGAAAUGAUCGGCAGGCACGUGUCUGCAGGGGCUUAGCACACCCGGAAGACACUGUCUGAAGGAGAAAGUGCGCCUGCCGUCUGUCCCAAUAAAAAGCCUGGGAAAAACACCUGCCAAGUGAUAUUUAGAACUGACAUUUUCAUAGGGAUCCAGGCAAUGGAGGGUUUUGCGGGGCCCAGAAAGCACGGUUUUCACUCUUUCUCCUCCUCAUUUUCUGUAACUGAACAAUGCGCACAGUGUUAACGUACAUUUAAAAUGACGUGCUUUAAGGAGUACAUUUUUAAAAGCUUUUUAUUUGGAAAUAGUUUUGACAAUAAUAAUGAUUUCAAUAACUACAAUUUAGUAAUAAUUGACAAUGACAAUAAUUUUAAGAAAUAAUAUUUCUUUUCUGAACCAUUUGAGAGUAAGUUGCACACAUCAUGGCUCUUUACUCCUAAAUAUUUCCUAUUUCCUCUUAAAUAUUUCAGUGUCUGUUUUCUAGGAAUAGAGAUUUUUAUGUAACUGUAGCACAGUUCUCAGUCUCAGUAAAUUUAACAUUGAUAAUAUUUUUUUCUAAUCUACCAUCAGUGUCCUGAUUUUAUCAAUAUUUUGACUUAAUAACGUACUAUUUAGCAUUUUCCCCCCUCAGCACGUGUUGUCACGUCUCUCUGAUUUCCCUUAAUCUAAAACAUUUCUACAGCCUUUAUUUGUUUUUUAUGAUAUUGAGAGUUUUGAAGAAUAACGUUUCUCGUUGUCACUUGUUCUGUUUCCUCGUGAGUGGAUCCAGGCUGCGCCUCCCCGGCCGACAUCCACAGAUGAGGCCGGAUCCUGCCCAGGGCCUCGCCUCAGGCGCACAGCCUCCGUUUCCUCUCGAGGCUGAUGUCGUUGUUAAUCAUGAAGGGCAAUGACGUCUGUAAAACUCUUAAGAAGAAGAGGCCUCUGAAGGUAUAAUUCUCUGAAAGCUAUUUUCUAAGUUCAAGUCUGUGGCCUUUCAGUCUCUAAGAAGGAAAUACUGGGUGUGAAUGUUUUCGUCUGGGAUACAGCCGGGCAGCUCUGUCCAGAGGGCAGACUGUGCUUCUGACCUGGAUCCUUGGGAUGCUGCUGGUUCUCCACUUCAGCCUGGGAGGGAAGACCAGGUCUGGACCCGUGCACAGGCAAACGCCAUGCCAAGCUGGGGUUUAGGCACCAAAGGAGGCCCAACUGGUGGUGCUAAGGUUUGGGAAACGGAAGCCCAGACUCUGUGUUUAUUCUCCAUCAAUUGGAAAAUUCCUGAAGGAGAACUUUGGCUGGAAAACGUCUGAAUAGGUGGAUGUCUCUGCUCUCUCGCCAUGGGUGCCGUCCUGUCUGAGGUUUUCGUAUCCUGAUGGGGGAAGAAGCAGACGGGGCGCUCUCUCCACUGUCACGGAUGCCGAGUGGAGAGGAGAGGCUACUACGUAGUCUCAGAGUCAGAAAAGAUCUUGAUACACUGGGCCUUUCCAGGAUGAAAGUCUACGCUGAGCAUCACACAUAACCUUGUGUAUUUCCUUGGUUCCAAGAGGCUUUCCUCUACCUUUUACUGUUUCUGGCCUUUGGAUGCAUCCUACACUCUGUGUCAAAGGCAACUAGCUGUUUAAUAGGUACGGUUGUUGUAAAUAGAAAAUCUACCCAUAUGCAGACAAAGGUUCAACUAAUUGUUGCCUUGUUCCUCCUCCACCAUUGGUUGCACUACACAGGAAUCUAUUUUCAUCAAUGUAUAAUUUACAUACGCUAAACUAUGUCCUUCUUGUUGUACAGUUCCAGGAGUUUUGACAAAUGCAUACGGUCAUGUAACUAACACCAAAAUCAAGGUACAGAACAGUUUCACCCCCCAAAAGAGUUCCCUUGUGCCCUUUGUAGACAAACGCUCCUGCUUAGCCGCUGGCAAUCACUGAUCUGUUUUCUAUCCUUGUAGUUUUGCCUUUUCCAGAAUGUCAUAAAGAUGGGAGUAAAUUUAUGUAGCCUCUCUGUGUCUGGCUUCUUUUGCUCAACCAAUGCAUUUGAAAUGAAUCCAUGUUGUCCAUGUAUUCAUGGUCUGUUCCUUUCUACUGCUGAGUAAUAUUCCACUGCAGAGAUGUCCACACAAUGUUUACUCAUUCAUCAUUUAAAAGACAUUUGUGUUGUUUUCAGUUUGGGGCUAUUAUGAAUAAAGCCAUUAUAAACAUUCACGUCCAAGUUUUUGUGUGAACAUAUGUGUUCAUUUCUCCUGGGUAAAUGGUUAGGAGGAAGAUUUCUG